GGGUUGUGAGGUUAAGCGACUAAGCGUACACGGUGGAUGCCCUGGCAGUCAGAGGCGAUGAAGGACGUGCUAAUCUGCGAUAAGCGUCGGUAAGGUGAUAUGAACCGUUAUAACCGGCGAUUUCCGAAUGGGGAAACCCAGUGUGAUUCGUCACACUAUCAUUAACUGAAUCCAUAGGUUAAUGAGGCGAACCGGGGGAACUGAAACAUCUAAGUACCCCGAGGAAAAGAAAUCAACCGAGAUUCCCCCAGUAGCGGCGAGCGAACGGGGAGCAGCCCAGAGCCUGAAUCAGUGUGUGUGUUAGUGGAAGCGUCUGGAAAGGCGUGCGAUACAGGGUGACAGCCCCGUACACAAAAAUGCACAUACUGUGAGCUCGAUGAGUAGGGCGGGACACGUGGUAUCCUGUCUGAAUAUGGGGGGACCAUCCUCCAAGGCUAAAUACUCCUGACUGACCGAUAGUGAACCAGUACCGUGAGGGAAAGGCGAAAAGAACCCCGGCGAGGGGAGUGAAAAAGAACCUGAAACCGUGUACGUACAAGCAGUGGGAGCACGCUUAGGCGUGUGACUGCGUACCUUUUGUAUAAUGGGUCAGCGACUUAUAUUCUGUAGCAAGGUUAACCGAAUAGGGGAGCCGAAGGGAAACCGAGUCUUAACUGGGCGUUAAGUUGCAGGGUAUAGACCCGAAACCCGGUGAUCUAGCCAUGGGCAGGUUGAAGGUUGGGUAACACUAACUGGAGGACCGAACCGACUAAUGUUGAAAAAUUAGCGGAUGACUUGUGGCUGGGGGUGAAAGGCCAAUCAAACCGGGAGAUAGCUGGUUCUCCCCGAAAGCUAUUUAGGUAGCGCCUCGUGAAUUCAUCUCCGGGGGUAGAGCACUGUUUCGGCAAGGGGGUCAUCCCGACUUACCAACCCGAUGCAAACUGCGAAUACCGGAGAAUGUUAUCACGGGAGACACACGGCGGGUGCUAACGUCCGUCGUGAAGAGGGAAACAACCCAGACCGCCAGCUAAGGUCCCAAAGUCAUGGUUAAGUGGGAAACGAUGUGGGAAGGCCCAGACAGCCAGGAUGUUGGCUUAGAAGCAGCCAUCAUUUAAAGAAAGCGUAAUAGCUCACUGGUCGAGUCGGCCUGCGCGGAAGAUGUAACGGGGCUAAACCAUGCACCGAAGCUGCGGCAGCGACGCUUAUGCGUUGUUGGGUAGGGGAGCGUUCUGUAAGCCUGCGAAGGUGUGCUGUGAGGCAUGCUGGAGGUAUCAGAAGUGCGAAUGCUGACAUAAGUAACGAUAAAGCGGGUGAAAAGCCCGCUCGCCGGAAGACCAAGGGUUCCUGUCCAACGUUAAUCGGGGCAGGGUGAGUCGACCCCUAAGGCGAGGCCGAAAGGCGUAGUCGAUGGGAAACAGGUUAAUAUUCCUGUACUUGGUGUUACUGCGAAGGGGGGACGGAGAAGGCUAUGUUGGCCGGGCGACGGUUGUCCCGGUUUAAGCGUGUAGGCUGGUUUUCCAGGCAAAUCCGGAAAACUAAGGCUGAGGCGUGAUGACGAGGCACUACGGUGCUGAAGCAACAAAUGCCCUGCUUCCAGGAAAAGCCUCUAAGCAUCAGGUAACAUCAAAUCGUACCCCAAACCGACACAGGUGGUCAGGUAGAGAAUACCAAGGCGCUUGAGAGAACUCGGGUGAAGGAACUAGGCAAAAUGGUGCCGUAACUUCGGGAGAAGGCACGCUGAUAUGUAGGUGAAGUCCCUCGCGGAUGGAGCUGAAAUCAGUCGAAGAUACCAGCUGGCUGCAACUGUUUAUUAAAAACACAGCACUGUGCAAACACGAAAGUGGACGUAUACGGUGUGACGCCUGCCCGGUGCCGGAAGGUUAAUUGAUGGGGUUAGCGCAAGCGAAGCUCUUGAUCGAAGCCCCGGUAAACGGCGGCCGUAACUAUAACGGUCCUAAGGUAGCGAAAUUCCUUGUCGGGUAAGUUCCGACCUGCACGAAUGGCGUAAUGAUGGCCAGGCUGUCUCCACCCGAGACUCAGUGAAAUUGAACUCGCUGUGAAGAUGCAGUGUACCCGCGGCAAGACGGAAAGACCCCGUGAACCUUUACUAUAGCUUGACACUGAACAUUGAGCCUUGAUGUGUAGGAUAGGUGGGAGGCUUGGAAGUGUGGACGCCAGUCUGCAUGGAGCCGACCUUGAAAUACCACCCUUUAAUGUUUGAUGUUCUAACGUUGACCCGUAAUCCGGGUUGCGGACAGUGUCUGGUGGGUAGUUUGACUGGGGCGGUCUCCUCCUAAAGAGUAACGGAGGAGCACGAAGGUUGGCUAAUCCUGGUCGGACAUCAGGAGGUUAGUGCAAUGGCAUAAGCCAGCUUGACUGCGAGCGUGACGGCGCGAGCAGGUGCGAAAGCAGGUCAUAGUGAUCCGGUGGUUCUGAAUGGAAGGGCCAUCGCUCAACGGAUAAAAGGUACUCCGGGGAUAACAGGCUGAUACCGCCCAAGAGUUCAUAUCGACGGCGGUGUUUGGCACCUCGAUGUCGGCUCAUCACAUCCUGGGGCUGAAGUAGGUCCCAAGGGUAUGGCUGUUCGCCAUUUAAAGUGGUACGCGAGCUGGGUUUAGAACGUCGUGAGACAGUUCGGUCCCUAUCUGCCGUGGGCGCUGGAGAACUGAGGGGGGCUGCUCCUAGUACGAGAGGACCGGAGUGGACGCAUCACUGGUGUUCGGGUUGUCAUGCCAAUGGCACUGCCCGGUAGCUAAAUGCGGAAGAGAUAAGUGCUGAAAGCAUCUAAGCACGAAACUUGCCCCGAGAUGAGUUCUCCCUGACUCCUUGAGAGUCCUGAAGGAACGUUGAAGACGACGACGUUGAUAGGCCGGGUGUGUAAGCGCAGCGAUGCGUUGAGCUAACCGGUACUAAUGAACCGUGAGGCUUAACCUUACAACGCCGAAGCUGUU
rnacentral:rRNA from 1 species